rnacentral:rRNA from 1 species
GACGAGGGGUCCUAGCGUUGUUCGGAAUCAUUGGGCGUAAAGAGUAUGUAGGCGGCUUUUCAAGUCAGAUGUGAAAGCCCACGGCUUAACCGUGGAAAUGCAUUUGAAACUGCUAAGCUUGAGUGCGGAAGAGGAUGGUAGAAUUCCAGGUGUAGUGGUGAAAUACGUAGAUAUCUGGAGGAACACCGGUGGCGAAGGCGACAUCCUGGACCGGUAUUGACGCUGAGGCGCGAAAGCCAGGGGAGCAAACGGG